rnacentral:lncRNA from 1 species
GGCGACCCAGGGAGACCCAGGGUCCCCUGCUCCCUGGGGAUUCUGGGAAAUGUGGUUUACACGCUCAGCUUGCGUGUUUCUGACCAACUAAGGUAUUCGUCGAUGAGCUGGGAGCCGAAGAAGUCAGUAUUGCCAGUGCUUGGAGUAGCUUCAUCCAUUAAUAUUGAAAAAGGGCCUUGUGAGUGCCUCCUGUCGCCCUCCACCCCCCGCCCGGAGGCCUUGUCCAGCGCUUGGCCCCAGGUCUAGCCCUUCCGCGUGAUGGACAUUGCACCUGAGGAGUCUCGUCGCAAAUAAGCCCUCUUACAUGAUCUUAUUUCAAAUGUGUCAUCUGCUUGCUGUCAAGACCUUGACGGGAACACACGCACAAGCGGGCUCAGCUGAACACAGAGAUAAGCCUCGAGUGUUGUUUGGAGAAAUAUGCUCUGCGGCUUCGAGAAGAUUGAGGACACGCUGCAGAGUCUCGUGGUGCCUCCGCUGGUGCAACCUGCGUCUACCCAUUUACUAGAUCACAGGCAUGGACGGUCAUCCACUGUGGCCCAGGCUGUCUCAGGCUCUCGGGACAGGGCGAGCAAGACGCCACACUCCACUGGAGCAGACAGACACCAACCAGCAUCCCGCUACAGGCAGGAGGAUAGGAUCCACCCUUGGCCAACGUCUGGGGACCAGCGACAUUUGGUCCGCUGCCUUGUCAGCCGGAGAGCAUCCUUGUCCCGAGCUGUCUGUCACCCUUCCACAGACACGGAGGGGAGCAAGACUCUAAGAUUCCAGAGGCCCGGAUGGGAGUUUGAGCUACUGCCACUUCUGAUGUCCCUGCUGAUGCUUCAUGUGUUUCCACUUGGGACAUAUCACUGGCGCCUUGCCGAUACAUGUCUGUAUUUGGAGAGCACGACUGGAAUGACAGACAGCUGCAGUAUCACCGAGCACUUACGUCAGCAGUGACACACAGACCCCGACGUGUGUCCCUCAGACGUGGCGAUCCGAGCAG